CAGCCGCCGCGGUAAUACUAGGGGUGCAAGCGUUGUCCGGAAUCAUUGGGCGUAAAGGGUGCGUAGGCGUCCGGGAAAGUUAUUUGUUAAAUCCUUCGGCUUAACCGAAGAAAUGCAAGUAAAACUAAUCGGAUAGAGUUUAAGAGAGGAAAGUGGAAUUCCUGGUGUAGCGGUGACAUGCGUAGAUAUCAGGAGGAACAUCAAUGGCGAAGGCGGCUUUCUGGCUUAAAACUGACGCUGAGGCACGAAAGCGUGGGGAGCAAACAGGAUUAGAUACCUUGGUAGUCCACGCCGUAAACGAUGAGUACUUGGUGCCGGAGGAUUCGACCCCCUCGGUGCCGUAGCUAACGCGUUAAGUACUCCGCUUGGGGACUACGACCGCAAGGUCGAAACUCAAAGGAAUUGACGGGGACCCGCACAAGCGGUGGAACAUGUGGUUUAAUUCGAUGCAACGCGAAGAACCUUACCUGGACUUGACAUGUUAGUGUAAGUCCCGUGAAAGCGGGACCCUCUGCGAGCUUGCUCAAAGACACUAUCACAGGUGAUGCAUGGCUGUCGUCAGCUCGUGUCGUGAGAUGUUGGGUUAAGUCCCGCAACGAGCGCAACCCCUAUCCUUAGUUGCCAGCACGUUAUGGUGGGGACUCUAAGGAGACUGCCCGGGAUAACCGGGAGGAAGGUGGGGAUGAUGUCAAGUCAGUAUGUCCCUUAUGUCCAGGGCUACACACGUGUUACAAUGGCUGGUACAAUGGGUUGCCAACCCGCGAGGGUGAGCCAAUCCCAUAAAGCAGUUCUUAGUUCGGAUUGGAGUCUGCAACUCGACUCCAUGAAGCUGGAAUCGCUAGUAAUCGCGGAUCAG
rnacentral:rRNA from 1 species